rnacentral:rRNA from 1 species
GGUGAAAAGCACCCCGGAAGGGGAGUGAAAUAGAACCUGAAACCGUGUGCUUACAAGUAGUCAGAGCCCGUUAAUGGGUGAUGGCGUGCCUUUUGUAGAAUGAACCGGCGAGUUACGAUUUGAUGCAAGGUUAAGCAGUAAAUGUGGAGCCGUAGCGAAAGCGAGUCUGAAUAGGGCGUUUAGUAUUUGGUCGUAGACCCGAAACCAGGUGAUCUACCCUUGGUCAGGUUGAAGUUCAGGUAACACUGAAUGGAGGACCGAACCGACUUACGUUGAAAAGUGAGCGGAUGAACUGAGGGUAGCGGAGAAAUUCCAAUCGAACCUGGAGAUAGCUGGUUCUCUCCGAAAUAGCUUUAGGGCUAGCCUCAAGUGAUGAUUAUUGGAGGUAGAGCACUGUUUGGACGAGGGGCCCCUCUCGGGUUACCGAAUUCAGACAAACUCCGAAUGCCAAUUAAUUUAACUUGGGAGUCAGAACAUGGGUGAUAAGGUCCGUGUUCGAAAGGGAAACAGCCCAGACCACCAGCUAAGGUCCCAAAAUAUAUGUUAAGUGGAAAAGGAUGUGGCGUUGCCCAGACAACUAGGAUGUUGGCUUAGAAGCAGCCAUCAUUUAAAGAGUGCGUAAUAGCUCACUAGUCGAGUGACACUGCGCCGAAAAUGUACCGGGGCUAAACAUAUUACCGAAGCUGUGGAUUGUCCUUUGGACAAUGGUAGGAGAGCGUUCUAAGGGCGUUGAAGCAUGAUCGUAAGGACAUGUGGAGCGCUUAGAAGUGAGAAUGCCGGUGUGAGUAGCGAAAGACGGGUGAGAAUCCCGUCCACCGAUUGACUAAGGUUUCCAGAGGAAGGCUCGUCCGCUCUGGGUUAGUCGGGUCCUAAGCUGAGGCCGACAGGCGUAGGCGAUGGAUAACAGGUUGAUAUUCCUGUACCACCUAUAAUCGUUUUAAUCGAUGGGGGGACGCAGUAGGAUAGGCGAAGCGUGCGAUUGGAUUGCACGUCUAAGCAGUAAGGCUGAGUAUUAGGCAAAUCCGGUACUCAUUAAGGCUGAGCUGUGAUGGGGAGAAGACAUUGUGUCUUCGAGUCGUUGAUUUCACACUGCCGAGAAAAGCCUCUAGAUAGAAAAUAGGUGCCCGUACCGCAAACCGACACAGGUAGUCAAGAUGAGAAUUCUAAGGUGAGCGAGCGAACUCUCGUUAAGGAACUCGGCAAAAUGACCCCGUAACUUCGGGAGAAGGGGUGCUCUUUAGGGUUAACGCCCAGAAGAGCCGCAGUGAAUAGGCCCAAGCGACUGUUUAUCAAAAACACAGGUCUCUGCUAAACCGUAAGGUGAUGUAUAGGGGCUGACGCCUGCCCGGUGCUGGAAGGUUAAGAGGAGUGGUUAGCUUCUGCGAAGCUACGAAUCGAAGCCCCAGUAAACGGCGGCCGUAACUAUAACGGUCCUAAGGUAGCGAAAUUCCUUGUCGGGUAAGUUCCGACCCGCACGAAAGGCGUAACGAUUUGGGCACUGUCUCAACGAGAGACUCGGUGAAAUCAUAGUACCUGUGAAGAUGCAGGUUACCCGCGACAGGACGGAAAGACCCCGUGGAGCUUUACUGUAGCCUGAUAUUGAAAUUCGGCACAGCUUGUACAGGAUAGGUAGGAGCCUUUGAAACGUGAGCGCUAGCUUACGUGGAGGCGCUGGUGGGAUACUACCCUAGCUGUGUUGGCUUUCUAACCCGCACCACUUAUCGUGGUGGGAGACAGUGUCAGGCGGGCAGUUUGACUGGGGCGGUCGCCUCCUAAAAGGUAACGGAGGCGCUCAAAGGUUCCCUCAGAAUGGUUGGAAAUCAUUCAUAGAGUGUAAAGGCAUAAGGGAGCUUGACUGCGAGACCUACAAGUCGAGCAGGGUCGAAAGACGGACUUAGUGAUCCGGUGGUUCCGCAUGGAAGGGCCAUCGCUCAACGGAUAAAAGCUACCCCGGGGAUAACAGGCUUAUCUCCCCCAAGAGUUCACAUCGACGGGGAGGUUUGGCACCUCGAUGUCGGCUCAUCGCAUCCUGGGGCUGUAGUCGGUCCCAAGGGUUGGGCUGUUCGCCCAUUAAAGCGGUACGCGAGCUGGGUUCAGAACGUCGUGAGACAGUUCGGUCCCUAUCCGUCGUGGGCGUAGGAAAUUUGAGAGGAGCUGUCCUUAGUACGAGAGGACCGGGAUGGACAUACCUCUGGUGUACCAGUUGUCGUGCCAACGGCAUAGCUGGGUAGCUAUGUGUGGACGGGAUAAGUGCUGAAAGCAUCUAAGCAUGAA